rnacentral:rRNA from 1 species
GACGAACGCUGGCGGCGUGCCUAAUACAUGCAAGUCGAGCGCAGGAAACUGACGGAACUCUUCGGAGGGAAGGCAGUGGAAUGAGCGGCGGACGGGUGAGUAACACGUAAGGAACCUGCCUCAAGGAUUGGGAUAACUCCGAGAAAUCGGAGCUAAUACCGGAUAGUUCAACGGACCGCAUGGUCCGCUGAUGAAAGGCGCUCCGGCGUCACCUUGAGAUGGCCUUGCGGUGCAUUAGCUAGUUGGUGGGGUAACGGCCCACCAAGGCGACGAUGCGUAGCCUGCCGGGGAGGGUGAUCGGCCAAACUGGGACUGAGACACGGCCCAGACUCCUACGGGAGGCAGCAGUAGGGAAUCUUCCACAAUGGACGAAAGUCUGAUGGAGCAACGCCGCGUGAGUGAUGAAGGUUUUCGGAUCGUAAAACUCUGUUGUAAGGGAAGAACACGUACGAGAGGAAAUGCUCGUACCUUGACGGUACCUUACGAGAAAGCCACGGCUAACUACGUGCCAGCCGCCGCCGUAAAAC